rnacentral:rRNA from 1 species
CGCAGCAGUCGCGAAAACUUCACAAUGGGGGCAACCCCGAUGAGGGAAUUCCUAGUGCUAGCACAUUUGUGUUAGCUUUUCUCUAGCGUAGAUAACUAGAGGAAUAAGGGCUGGGAAAGACGGGUGCCAGCCGCCGCGGUAAUACCUGCAGCCCAAGUGGUGGUCGAUUUUAUUGAGUCUAAAACGUUCGUAGCCGGUUCGAUAAAUCUUUGGGUAAAUCGGGGGGCUUAACCUUCCGUCUUCCGAGGAGACUGUCGAACUUGGGACCGGGAGAGGCUAGAGGUACUUCUGGGGUAGGGGUAAAAUCCUGUAAUCCUAGAAGGACCACCGGUGGCGAAGGCGUCUAGCUAGAACGGAUCCGACGGUGAGGGACGAAGCCCUGGGUCGCAAACGGGAUUAGAUACCCCGGUAGUCCAGGGUGUAAACGCUGCAGACUUGGUGUUGGAAGCCCUUUGGGGGCAUUCAGUGCCGGAGAGAAGUUGUCAAGUCUGCUACUUGGGGAGUACGUCCGCAAGGAUGAAACUUAAAGGAAUUGGCGGGGGAGCACCGCAACGGGAGGAGCGUGCGGUUUAAUUGGAUUCAACACCGUAAAACUCACCAGGGAAG